UACGUAGGUGACCAGCGUUGUCCGGAUUUACUGGGCGUAAAGAGCGCGCAGGCGGUCGUUCAAGUCGAGUGUGAAAGCCCCCGGCUCAACUGGGGAGGGUCACUCGAUACUGAUCGACUUGAAGGCAGGAGAGGGAAGCGGAAUUCCCGGUGUAGUGGUGAAAUGCGUAGAUAUCGGGAGGAACACCAGUGGCGAGGGCGGCUUCCUGGCCUGUUCUUGACGCUGAGGCGCGAAAGCUAGGGGAGCAAACGGG
rnacentral:rRNA from 1 species